UACAGAGGGGCCAAGCGUUGUUCGGAAUUACUGGGCGUAAAGGGCGCGUAGGCGGCCCGUUAAGUCGGACGUGAAAUCCCUGGGCUCAACCCAGGAACUGCGUCCGAUACUGGUUGGCUUGAAUCCGGGAGAGGGAUGUGGAAUUCCAGGUGUAGCGGUGAAAUGCGUAAAUAUCUGGAGGAACACCGGUGGCGAAGGCGACAUCCUGGACCGGUAUUGACGCUGAGGCGCGAAAGCCAGGGGAGCAAACGGG
rnacentral:rRNA from 1 species